UACGGAGGGGGCAAGCGUUGUUCGGAUUUAUUGGGCGUAAAGAGUACGUAGGCGGCUAUUUAAGUCAGGCGUGCAAGCCCACGGCUCAACCGUGGAAUUGCGUUUGAAACUAUUUAGCUUGAGUACAGGAGAGGAAGGCGGAAUUCCCAGUGUAGCGGUGAAAUGCAUUGAUAUUGGGAAGAACACCGGUGGCGAAGGCGGCCUUCUGGUCUGAUACUGACGCUGAGAUACGAAAGCCAGGGGAGCGAACGGG
rnacentral:rRNA from 1 species